rnacentral:rRNA from 1 species
UACGUAGGGGGCAAGCGUUGUCCGGAUUUCUUGGGCGUAAAGAGCGUGUAGGCGGCCAUGUAGGUCUGCUGUGAAAACUCGAGGCUUAACCUCGAGCUGUCGGCGGAAACCAUCUGGCUAGAGUCCGGAAGAGGAGAAUGGAAUUCCCGGUGUAGCGGUGAAAUGCGCAGAUAUCGGGAAGAACACCCGUGGCGAAGGCGGUUCUCUGGGACGGUACUGACGCUGAGACGCGAAAGCGUGGGGAGCGAACAGG